UAUUUCUUUUCCCUUGUAACUGAAAACCGAAAUUUUCGGUCGGUUCGGUUAUCGAUUUUUCGGUAAUUAUGCUCACCCCUAGCCGCCGCCAUCGUUGAACACUGUAGCAGGCCGCAAUUAUUCCCGGUUCCUCUAUAUGCCUUACUCACUGCCAUGUUUUAUUUUUGUGAAUUUGGUUUGACGAUCUGAAACUUUAUCUCUUGACCAUUAGGAUCAGUUUAAGAUUUGAAUAAGCUUUUUUUUUUUUUAAUUUUUUUGUGUGGAUAUUUUGUUUCUCCUGAAGUUACACGUGAGAAUAAAGAGUUUUGAAAGCAUGCCUGGACACUUGUUUCAUUGGCUUGAAAAAUUAUGCGGCAAAUAUAUUGAACAUGAAAUGCAUUAAUGGCUUAUUAAUUUGCACUUGUUGGUCAAUGGUCAUGAGCAGUUUAUCAUUGCAUUUUUUAGGUAACAGGAAUUUCUGUCUGAAGUAGCGCUUGAAAUAUAGUUUAAUUAUUCUGGCUGACAACAAAACCUAACAUUUUUUUUUGAAUUUUGUUGUUAUUUCAAUUAUUGUUGCUGUCCAGAGAUUUGGGGCAUGAGAGCACAAGCAUUGGCAGUUCAACAAUCUCUUAUUGGCUCUGUUGUUUGCUCUCGAAACUGUAAAUCGUCUCUCUGCUCAGUCUGGAGUUGUUCUAGAUCGUCAUACCCCCCAUACAAACUCAGUUCUUUUCUCUCUUAUCAAUUCCCCAUGUCUUUUGCCACCAAAAUCUCAUACCCUCUCUUCCACCAACCAUUCCUGAAAACUGUUGGUUCUCAUUCCUCAGCUUCUACUCCUGAAAGGCUUCAUUUUGCUAAGCCUAUCACUUUUCAGAAAAUUCCCACAAAACUAAUUUCUGUUGUACCGCCUGCAUCAUCAUCACAAUCAUCCUCGGUAUCUCUACAACCUGUUGAAGACUUGCCCCCGAAGCUUCAAGAGAUAGUCAAGCUUUUCCAAGCAGUAGAGCAGCCCAAGGCUAAGUAUGAACAGCUUUUGUUUUAUGGGAAGAAUUUGAAGCCGUUGGAUGCUCAGUACAAGACUGGUGAGAAUAAGGUCCAGGGCUGCGUUUCGCAGGUCUGGGUAAGGGCAUAUCUUGAUGCAAAUAAAAAUGUCAUCUUUGAGGCUGAUUCUGACUCGGUGCUCACAAAGGGCCUUGCAGCUUUGCUGGUUCAAGGGCUGUCAGGCCGCCCUGUUGAUGAGAUUGUGAGGGUAUCACCUGAUUUUGUAGUACUUGUUGGGUUGCAACAGAGUUUAACACCAUCAAGGAACAAUGGUUUCUUGAAUAUGCUCAAGUUGAUGCAGAAGAAGGCUCUGCAGUUGUAUGUGGAAGCUGAAAAGACAGGAAGUUUGGGUCAUGAUGAGGAUGCAAGCAAUACAACUGAGAGCUCGAAUUUUGGAGUGACGAAUGAUAAUGGAAAUGAGAAUUUGAAGACUGGACUGAGUUCUGAAGAGAGUGGUGGUAAUGAUAGUAAAGCAGUAUCGUGUGAUAGUGUUAUUUUGGGGAGUCGGGGGAUGAGAAUUAGGGAGAGAUUGGAGAGGGAUCUAAUGCCUGCUGAAUUGGACGUUGAAGAUAUUUCAUAUCAGCAUGCUGGUCAUGCUGGGGUUAGGGGCAGUGAUGGUGAGACACAUUUCAAUGUGAGAGUGGUUUCUGAGAAGUUUGAGGGCAAGAGUUUGGUUAAGAGGCAUAGAUUGAUUUAUGAUUUGCUGCAAGAGGAGUUGCAGGGUGGACUUCAUGCGCUGUCCAUCAUUGCUAAGACACCAUCUGAAGUAAAUAGUAGGCCUAGGUGCUCUCAGAUAGAAUUUGAAGCCAUAUAAAUGAGGCAUGAUGUAUUCUGGUAAGGAUGGGAUUACUACUGUUCUUGUUGCAGAAGAGUAGCACUCAAUAGAUUCAUGGAACAUUUUUGUCUUCUUAGCUUUCACCUUGCCAGGAUGGUGCUAUCUCUUUGCCACCCAUGAUUCCUAAUAAUAUCAUUGACUUUUAUCUGAACUCUGAAGAGUAUACAUACUUAAGACUAAUAGAAGGACUAAUGGAUGAUCCAUUCAUACGAAAUUACAUUGAACAUCUUUUGAGAAAUGUGAGGACUCAGGUGUUGCUCAAGCUCAUCAAGCCCUACACAAGGAUUCGGAUCCCCUUCAUAUCCAAGGAGCUUAAUGUACCAGAAAAGGAUGUUGAGGAGUUGUUGGUCUCGCUAUUGGAUAAUCGUAUACAAGGUCACAUUGAUCAAGUGAACAGACUUCUAGAACGCGGGGACAGGUCAAAAGGAAUGAAGAAAUACACUGCUAUAGAUGAGUGGAACACACAGCUCAAGUCUCUCUAUCAGACCAUUGGCAAUCGAGUGUGUUAAAUAUCCAGAUUGUUCCAUUUAUACUGCUAGGAUCAAACGCUUACCACUCACGCCAAAAGCUAUUGCUAGUAGCGAAGGCGCAACUUAUUUCCUUAUAGACUGCCAUCACAUUGUUCGAGAUAGACUGGGUGCUGGACUUGGCCCUUAGGAACUUUACCGUCCUCCGCCCAACAAUCCCCCAGCCACUAGACAUAGCCCCUUUACCAGCUCUGCCCAACAUAUACUUUGAACGCAAGCACUAAGUCAUCCUCCAUUCAGGUCUGCAGUGGGGAUAAAAGUGGGUGGUUGGCAUAAG